UUUUUUUUUUUUUUUUUUUUUUUUUUGAUUUUUCUCUCCCCAAAUGGGAACAUCUAUCAUGCUGGAGGACUGCUGUGAUGGGGCUUUACAUUUUACUGUUUUGUUGCUAGCUUAUUGUUUCAUAUUUAGGAAUCAGUCAUGUUUCUGAUUGUGGUAUAAAGUUUGCUUAAGUGCCCCAUAGUUAAAGCUAUUCCAUGUACGCAAACACACACACAUAUUUUGAAUAGUCAUGUGAGUGCCUGUUCUCAGUCUUGCCCCCUUUACCAUUUCUCAUACAUAUACAAGUUAUUUAUUGUUUAUUUUUUUCCUCUUUUUUGACCGGAGAAGCAACAAAUUACAUAGUUUUAUUUGUGUUUCUUUGAUUACUAGUGAGCUUGAGUACUUUUAAUAUUUUAUUGGAUAUGUUUGUGACCGACUUUAAUUUCUUGUUCGUGUGUGCUGUGGCUGCCCAAUCCAGCACCACUUCCUUCUCUCACCAUACCCCCCCCCCCAACCCCUGCAAAGAAUCAUGCAUGUGGUUUGGGUGGCAUUGUCACACCCUCGGCUUUCUAGAUUAACCCAGUUACCUUUAAGCAGUGCCCCACUUCCCAGUAGCAAUGGUUCAGGGGUAGGCACCUGACCCAGACCAGACCACUGAGAUAAAGAUGUUUGCCUAGGCUUUUUCAGGAGCUAUUGAAGACAUCUCCUUGGAGAUAGUGUGCUGGGAGGAGUCACAUUCUGAACUUGCUGCAGCUCAUUUUUCUAAUAUAAAGGAACCAGCCUGAGGCAGUACCAAGAGAAUGAGAGGGAGUCUGUUGGAGCCCUUGGGGACUUCUGGAUCAAAUUGGACCUGAAUUGAGAUCUAUUUCUCAACUUUCACUUAUGUGAGCCAAUAAAUUCCUUUUUUGUUGAAGGCAAUUUGACUUGGAUUUUCUUUUUUCUUGCAACCAAAUAUAUGUUGUGUGAGAAUGUGUGUGUUUUUCUUAUUUACAGAGGUACUUGUACAUCAGGUUAGUUACAUCAAUAAUAGAUUGAUUAUUUGCAUAAGAAAGAAAAAAGUAAACCACUUGAAAAGCCACUACUCUUAAAUAACUAUUAACAUUUUAGUGAGAUUCCUUUUACAUAUUUCUUUAUGGAUAUAUACAUAGAAAACUGUAAAUGAGUUAACUUCAUACAUGCUAUUUUAAGGACCUCUUGAUUUAUAUGAUGUGGUUUCUUUUCAUUUCCUCUGUCACCCGAGCACGCCCUCUCAUUCCUCUCCUCCCUGAGGUAUCUGUUGCAUCCUAGCACAUGUGCUUUUUCUGCAUUUCUUGAUGUUUAUAUUCAUAUGCAAAUACAUAUAGAUACAUAUAUAUUUAUAUAUAGUUACAAUUUUCUUUACAUUUAAAUAUAUAUUAUAAAUUGGAACCAUCUGUAUAUUCAUCUCUGCAUGUUGUUUUUCUUUGUUUUUUUCUUUAUUUUUUAGAGACAGGCAUUCGCUGUCUCCCAGGCAGGAGUGCAGUGGCAUGAUCACAGCUCACUGCAGCCUCGACCUUCCAGACCCAAAUGAUGUUCUCACCUCAGCAUCCCGAGUAGCUGGACUACAGUGUGCACCACCAUGCCUGGAUAAUUUUUUUAAACAUCUUUUUGUACAGACAAGGUCUCCCUGUGUUGCCCAGGCUGGUCUCGAGCUCCUGGGCUUAAGCUAUCCUGCCUUGGCCUCCUAAAGUGCUGGGAUUACAGGCAUGAGUCACUGCGCCUGGCUGCCUUUCUUUCCUAACAGUAGAUUGUGAAAAUCCCUCCAAGCCAAUUUCUGUACAUCUAAGAUCCAUUUCAGUGAUGGUACAGUAUUAAAAUUCGAAUGUGUCGGAUACCACAAUUUGUUCAACUAUUCCUCUAGUAAUGGGCAAUUAUCUUGUUUCUAUUUUUUUGCUACUGUAGAUAGUACCAUGAUAAAUAUCCUUGUACAUAUUUCCUUUUGUUAGAUAUCUAUGAGUUGGAUCCAUAGAUCAGACAAUGCAUUUUUUAAGUGUUGACAUAUUUUGUCAAUAGCUUCCCAAAGUCUAUAAUCUUUUACAUUUCCACUAGUGUAAUACCUAUGAACAUACCACUUUCCCUCUUUCCUACAUUCCCCAUCAGCCCUGAGGUGUUACCACGUUUUAGUUACUUUGAUACUUAUAAGGUGUAAUUUUUUUUCAACUUUUAUUUUAGAGUCAGGAGUACCUAUACAUGUUUGUUAUAAAGGUAUAUUGUGUGAUGCUGAGGUUUGGAAUACAAAUGAAUCUUUCCCAGAUAGUGAGUGUAUAUAUAUAUUUUUGAGAUAGAGUCUGACUGUCACCCAGGCUGGAGUGCAGUGGCGUGAUCUCAGCUUACUGCAACCUCUGCAUCCCGGGUUCAAACGAUUCUUCUGCCUCAGCCUCCCGAGUAGCUGGGAUUACAGGCAUGUGCCACUAUGCCUGACUAAUUUUUAUAUUUUUAGUAGAGAUGGGGUUUCACCAUGUUGGCCAGGCUAAUCUUGAACUCCUGACCUCAGGUGAUCCGCCCCCCCUCGGCCUCCCAAAGUGCUGGGAUUAUAAGCAGGUGUAACUUCUGAGGUGUAACUUAGUUUGCAUUUUCUGCAGUCGUUUUCAUGUUUGUGGGCUUUUUUUUUGAAGUGAUUAUUUAUAUCCUUUGCCAGUUUUUCUGUUCAGUUUUUUUGUGGUUUUAUUAUGUGAGUUCUUUGUAUACUACAGAUAUUAAUCCAAAUGUGUAUGUUAUAAGGAUUUUUUUUCUAACAGCCUUUUAAAUUUUUGUUUAUGCUAUAUUUUCCUUACAAUUUUUUAAAAAAUGUUUUAUCACUUCUGGGCUCCUCAACUCUUAGAUUUGACAUAGUUUCCUUAACCUCCUCUGAGAUUUUUAUUUUAUUUUUUCUUUUAAAAUCUUGAAUAAUUUGAAAUUCACUUGUUUAUGGCACAAGAUAAGGAGCCAUCUCAUUCUUCUUCAUACAUGUAGCCUGUUGUUCUGCACAAAACAUGAAAUAAACCUGCCUUUUCCUACUGAGCCGAAGUACCGCUAUUGCCCUAGAUGAAAUUCCCAUAAGUACUGUAAUCUACUUUGACCUUCUAUUUUAGGGGCUCUUAACCUUGAAAAGUAAUGUAUUUUAGUAUAAUUGGUUUUUCUUUAAUUCUGUGUAUUUUAUGUUUUAAAAAACCUUCUUAAAAUAGCUCUGCAGGUUUCAUCAGACUGCCACAGGGGUUUGGUAAAGCAAAAGUCUUGAUGGUGGCUUUAGAUAACAGAAAACAUAGUAUAUGGCUUGUAAGGCACAUUCUUCUAUGUGCUUAUAUUUUUUUCUUCACAUGUGAAUCUUCAAAUGAUCCCUUACCCAUUUUUCCUUUUGGUAGGUCCUUUAAAAAAUAUUCAUAUGAAGGAGGUUUAUUUCUUUUAAUGGAAUAUGGUUACUAAUCUUUUGUCAUUAAUAUUUAUUGCUGACAUCUUCACCCAGUGACUUGUCUUUUGAAUUUGCUUGAAGUUUUACAUCCUUAAAAGUUUUAAAAACCAAAAAUUUAAUUCUUAAUUAGUUUUUAGAAUUCUAAUUUUAGAAUUCUUAAUUAGUUUUAGAAUUCUAAUUCUAAUUCUAAUUGGGAUUCCUGCAUUCAUUGUGAGAAAACUGAUAAUUUAGUUACAAGACUUGCCAUGAGGAUACAUGGGGUAUCUUUCUGUAUUCAGAUUCUAUAGUUUUUAGUAGUUUAUGGUUUGCUUCACAUAGGACCUAUACCUUCUUUAUUAAAGUUAUUCCUAUGAAUUUCAUUUUGUCAGUGUGAAUGGAACAUAGGUUUUCUUCGUUUCAGAAAUCUGUGUAGUUGUCACUAAUAAAAGCUAUAGACUUUUCUAAGUUUAUUGAGACACCUAAUUAAUUUCUUUCAUUUGGCACUUAGGUUUAACUAGGAUUUCUUUCAUUUUCUAGGCAAAAAUAGGAAAAAUGUAAUUUGUAAUUUUUCAGUGUUUAUUGCCUUAGAUGAAAUUCCCAUAAGUAUUGUAAUCUACUUUGAUUAUAUAAGGCUAUGUCUUGAUGGGUUUUAAUAAAUAUAUGCACUUGUAUAAAUACUAUCACAAUCAAGGCCGGGUGUGGCUCAUGGCUGUAAUCCCAGCACUUUGGGAGACUGAGGCAGGAAGAUUGCUUGAACCCAAGAGUUCAAGACAAGCUUGGGCAACAUAAUGGGAUCUCUUCUCUAUAAAAAACUUAAAAAAAAAAAAAAA
ensembl:lncRNA